rnacentral:rRNA from 1 species
AUUGAACGCUGGCGGCAGGCCUAACACAUGCAAGUCGAGCGAGCGGCGGACGGGUGAGUAAUGUCUGGGAAACUGCCUGAUGGAGGGGGAUAACUCCUGGAAACGGUAGCUAAUACCGCAUACCAUCAGAUGUGCCCCGAUGGGAUUGUCGAGUAGGUGGGGUAACGGCUCACCUAGGCGACGAUCCCUAGCUGGUCUGAGAGGAUGACCCGCCACACUGGAACUGAGACACGUGCCAGACUCCUACGGGAGGCAGCAGUGGGGAAUAUUGCACAAUGGGCGCAAGCCGGAUGCAGCCAUGCCGCGUGUGUGAAGAAGGCCUUCGGGUUGUAAAGCACUUUCAGCGGGGAGGCGUUACCCGCAGAAGAAGCACAGGCUAACUCCGUGCCAGCAGCCGCGGUAAUAC